rnacentral:rRNA from 1 species
AUUGAACGCUGGCGGCAUGCCUAACACAUGCAAGUCGAACGGCAGCACGGCAGUAGCAAUACUGUGGGUGGCGAGUGGCGGACGGGUGAGGAAUACGUCGGAAUCUGCCCAGUCGUGGGGGAUAACUAGCCGAAAGGUUAGCUAAUACCGCAUACGACCGAGAGGUGAAAGCGGGGGACCGCAAGGCCUCGCGCGAUUGGAUGAGCCGACGUCGGAUUAGCUAGUUGGUGGGGUAAAGGCCACCAAGGCGACGAUCCGUAGCUGGUCUGAGAGGAUGAUCAGCCACACUGGAACUGAGACACGGUCCAGACUCCUACGGGAGGCAGCAGUGGGGAAUAUUGGACAAUGGGCGCAAGCCUGAUCCAGCAAUGCCGCGUGUGUGAGAAGGCCUCGGUUGUAAG